GACGAACGCUGGCGGCGUGCCUAAUACAUGCAAGUCGAGCGGAAGUUGGAGAGCUUGCUCUUCAACUUUAGCGGCGGACGGGUGAGUAACACGUGGGCAACCUGCCCUGCAGAUCGGGAUAACUCCGGGAAACCGGUGCUAAUACCGAAUAGUUUUCGCCACCUCCUGGUGGCGUACGGAAAGACGGUUUCGGCUGUCACUGCAGGAUGGGCCCGCGGCGCAUUAGCUAGUUGGUGGGGUAACGGCCCACCAAGGCAACGAUGCGUAGCCGACCUGAGAGGGUGAUCGGCCACACUGGGACUGAGACACGGCCCAGACUCCUACGGGAGGCAGCAGUAAGGAAUCUUCCGCAAUGGACGAAAGUCUGACGGAGCAACGCCGCGUGAGUGACGAAGGUUUUCGGAUCGUAAAACUCUGUUGUGAGGGAAGAACAAGUACCAACUAACUACUGGUACCUUGACGGUACCUCACCAGAAAGCCACGGCUAACUACGUGCCAGCCGCCGCGGUAA
rnacentral:rRNA from 1 species